rnacentral:rRNA from 1 species
UUUGGUUAAGUUAGAAAGGGCGCACGGUGGAUGCCUUGACACUAGGAGUCGAUGAAGGACGGGACUAACGCCGAUAUGCUUCGGGGAGCUGUAAGUAAGCUUUGAUCCGAAGAUUUCCGAAUGGGGAAACCCACCAUACGUAAUGGUAUGGUAUCCUUAUCUGAAUACAUAGGGUAAGGAAGACAGACCCAGGGAACUGAAACAUCUAAGUACCUGGAGGAAGAGAAAGCAAAUGCGAUUUCCUGAGUAGCGGCGAGCGAAACGGAACAUAGCCCAAACCAAGAGGCUUGCCUCUUGGGGUUGUAGGACAUUCUAUACGGAGUUACAAAGGAACGAGGUAGACGAAGCGACCUGGAAAGGUCCGUCGUAGAGGGUAACAACCCCGUAGUCGAAACUUCGUUCUCUCUUGAAUGUAUCCUGAGUACGGCGGAACACGUGAAAUUCCGUCGGAAUCUGGGAGGACCAUCUCCCAAGGCUAAAUACUCCCUAGUGAUCGAUAGUGAACCAGUACCGUGAGGGAAAGGUGAAAAGCACCCCGGAAGGGGAGUGAAAGAGAUCCUGAAACCGUGUGCCUACAAAUAGUCAGAGCCCGUUAACGGGUGAUGGCGUGCCUUUUGUAGAAUGAACCGGCGAGUUACGAUCCCGUGCGAGGUUAAGCUGAAGAGGCGGAGCCGCAGCGAAAGCGAGUCUGAAUAGGGCGUUUAGUACGUGGUCGUAGACCCGAAACCAGGUGAUCUACCCAUGUCCAGGGUGAAGUUCAGGUAACACUGAAUGGAGGCCCGAACCCACGCACGUUGAAAAGUGCGGGGAUGAGGUGUGGGUAGCGGAGAAAUUCCAAUCGAACCUGGAGAUAGCUGGUUCUCCCCGAAAUAGCUUUAGGGCUAGCCUUAAGUGUAAGAGUCUUGGAGGUAGAGCACUGAUUGGACUAGGGGUCCUCAUCGGAUUACCGAAUUCAGUCAAACUCCGAAUGCCAAUGACUUAUCCUUAGGAGUCAGACUGCGAGUGAUAAGAUCCGUAGUCAAAAGGGAAACAGCCCAGACCGCCAGCUAAGGUCCCAAAGUGUGUAUUAAGUGGAAAAGGAUGUGGAGUUGCUUAGACAACUAGGAUGUUGGCUUAGAAGCAGCCACCAUUUAAAGAGUGCGUAAUAGCUCACUAGUCGAGUGACUCUGCGCCGAAAAUGUACCGGGGCUAAAUACACCACCGAAGCUGCGGAUUGAUACCAAUGGUAUCAGUGGUAGGGGAGCGUUCUAAGGACAGUGAAGUCAGACCGGAAGGACUGGUGGAGUGCUUAGAAGUGAGAAUGCCGGUAUGAGUAGCGAAAGACGGGUGAGAAUCCCGUCCACCUAAUGCCUAAGGUUUCCUGAGGAAGGCUCGUCCGCUCAGGGUUAGUCAGGACCUAAGCCGAGGCCGACAGGCGUAGGCGAUGGACAACAGGUUGAUAUUCCUGUACCACCUCUUUAUCGUUUGAGCAAUGGAGGGACGCAGAAGGAUAGAAGAAGCGUGCGAUUGGUUGUGCACGUCCAAGCAGUUAGGCUGAUAAGUAGGCAAAUCCGCUUAUCGUGAAGGCUGAGCUGUGAUGGGGAAGCUCCUUAUGGAGCGAAGUCUUUGAUUCCCCGCUGCCAAGAAAAGCUUCUAGCGAGAUAAAAGGUGCCUGUACCGCAAACCGACACAGGUAGGCGAGGAGAGAAUCCUAAGGUGUGCGAGAGAACUCUGGUUAAGGAACUCGGCAAAAUGACCCCGUAACUUCGGGAGAAGGGGUGCUUUCUUAACGGAAAGCCGCAGUGAAUAGGCCCAAGCGACUGUUUAGCAAAAACACAGCUCUCUGCGAAGCCGUAAGGCGAAGUAUAGGGGGUGACACCUGCCCGGUGCUGGAAGGUUAAGGAGAGGGGUUAGCGUAAGCGAAGCUCUGAACUGAAGCCCCAGUAAACGGCGGCCGUAACUAUAACGGUCCUAAGGUAGCGAAAUUCCUUGUCGGGUAAGUUCCGACCCGCACGAAAGGUGUAACGAUUUGGGCACUGUCUCAACCAGAGACUCGGUGAAAUUAUAGUACCUGUGAAGAUGCAGGUUACCCGCGACAGGACGGAAAGACCCCGUGGAGCUUUACUGUAGCCUGAUAUUGAAUUUUGGUACAGUUUGUACAGGAUAGGCGGGAGCCUUUGAAACCGGAGCGCUAGCUUCGGUGGAGGCGCUGGUGGGAUACCGCCCUGACUGUAUUGAAAUUCUAACCUACGGGUCUUAUCGACCCGGGAGACAGUGUCAGGUGGGCAGUUUGACUGGGGCGGUCGCCUCCUAAAGUGUAACGGAGGCGCCCAAAGGUUCCCUCAGAAUGGUUGGAAAUCAUUCGUAGAGUGCAAAGGCAUAAGGGAGCUUGACUGCGAGACCUACAAGUCGAGCAGGGACGAAAGUCGGGCUUAGUGAUCCGGUGGUUCCGCAUGGAAGGGCCAUCGCUCAACGGAUAAAAGCUACCCCGGGGAUAACAGGCUUAUCUCCCCCAAGAGUCCACAUCGACGGGGAGGUUUGGCACCUCGAUGUCGGCUCAUCGCAUCCUGGGGCUGUAGUCGGUCCCAAGGGUUGGGCUGUUCGCCCAUUAAAGCGGUACGCGAGCUGGGUUCAGAACGUCGUGAGACAGUUCGGUCCCUAUCCGUCGUGGGCGUAGGAAAUUUGAGAGGAGCUGUCCUUAGUACGAGAGGACCGGGAUGGACGCACCGCUGGUGUACCAGUUGUUCUGCCAAGGGCAUAGCUGGGUAGCUAUGUGCGGAAGGGAUAAGUGCUGAAAGCAUCUAAGCAUGAAGCCCCCCUCAAGAUGAGAUUUCCCAUAGCGUAAGCUAGUAAGAUCCCUGAAAGAUGAUCAGGUUGAUAGGUUCGAGGUGGAAGCAUGGUGACAUGUGGAGCUGACGAAUACUAAUAGAUCGAGGACUUAACCAUAUAA